GCAGGUUUUCACUACGCUGCAAAGUGGGACCGACCGACAUUACUGCCGUUCUCAUGGACAACGCAGGGCUUUUCUUCCAUGGCUAAGAGUAUUCAGAUCCAGUAUCUGGUUGUCUGUGGGAUUCUGCUGCGUAUUACAUGUGGAGAUGAAUUGAUGUCAAUCAACACACCUCUGGGUAUGAAUGUUACGCUGGACUGUAUCUCAUCUGAUAAUUUAGUGAAAAUUGAAUGGACAAAGGAUGGAAUACAGCUGUUUUUACAUAGUCCGCUAUGGGAAACAAAAAACAAAACAAAAACAAA